CGGCGGUGAACUCUGCAGCUGCUCCUGCGCCUUCUCCAGCUGCAAUGGGCGAAGGGCGCUGGAUGGGGAACAAUUUAUUGCGAUCUUCCCCUUCACAACUGAUCUGAAAGACUGCUAGCAUGUGAGAGAUCAUGAAAAUGGGAGAAGGUGCAGAAGAGAACCACAAACAAUUUGAGGACUGGAGAAAAUGCCUUCCACUGAGACUUAGAGGUCAGUCUUAAGGUGUGUGUUUUUUUGUUUUUUUUUUUGGAUAA